GACGAACGCUGGCGGCGUGCUUAACACAUGCAAGUCGAACGGUGAACCUCUUCGGAGGGGAUCAGUGGCGAACGGGUGAGUAACACGUGGGCAACCUGCCCCCGGCUCUGGGAUAACUCCAAGAAAUUGGGGCUAAUACCGGAUGUUCACCGCUUCCCGCAUGGGUGGUGGUGGAAAGGGUUUCCGGCUGGGGAUGGGCCCGCGGCCUAUCAGCUUGUUGGUGGGGUAGUGGCCUACCAAGGCGACGACGGGUAGCCGGCCUGAGAGGGUGACCGGCCACACUGGGACUGAGACACGGCCCAGACUCCUACGGGAGGCAGCAGUGGGGAAUAUUGCGCAAUGGGCGGAAGCCUGACGCAGCGACGCCGCGUGGGGGAUGACGGCCUUCGGGUUGUAAACCUCUUUCAGCAGGGACGUAGCGCAAGUGACGGUACCUGCAGAAGAAGCACCGGCCAACUACGUG
rnacentral:rRNA from 1 species